GACGAGAAAGAUUCUGUUUCGAAUAUAGCCACAGAAAUAAAGGAUGGACAACAAUCUGGGACAGUGUCUUCUCAGAAACCACCAGCCUUGAAGGCUACAAGUGACGAGAAAGAUUCUGUUUCGAAUAUAGCCACACAAAUAAAGGAUGGAGAAAAAUCUGGGACAGGUAAU